rnacentral:rRNA from 1 species
GACGUAGGGCGCGAGCGUUGUCCGGAUUUAUUGGGCGUAAAGAGCUCGUAGGCGGCGGGGCAAGUCUGAUGUGAAAUCCCGGGGCUCAACCCCGGAACUGCAUUGGAUACUGCCUUGCUCGAGUACUGGAGAGGGAACUGGAAUUUACGGUGUAGCAGUGAAAUGCGUAGAGAUCGUAAGGAAGGCCAGUGGCGAAGGCGAGUUCCUGGACAGUUACUGACGCUGAGGCACGAAGGCCAGGGGAGCAAACGGG